GCGGGUGUAGUUUAAUGGUAAAACCAAAGCCUUCCAAGCUUUUGUUGAGGGUUCGAUUCCCUUCGCCCGCU
rnacentral:tRNA from 2 species